AUACGGAGGGUGCGAGCGUUAAUCGGAAUUACUGGGCGUAAAGCGUGCGUAGGCGGUUUGCUAAGUCAGAUGUUAAAGCCCCGGGCUUAACCUGGGAACUGCAUUUGAUACUGGCAGACUAGAGUAUGAUAGAGGGGGGUAGAAUUCCUGGUGUAGCGGUGAAAUGCGUAGAUAUCAGGAGGAAUACCAGUGGCGAAGGCGGCCCCCUGGAUCAAUACUGACGCUGAGGUACGAAAGCGUGGGGAGCGAACAGGAUUAGAAACCCUAGUAGUCC
rnacentral:rRNA from 1 species